rnacentral:snoRNA from 1 species
GGUUUCUGUCUUAUACCAGCCAGGGACAAAGCAAUCCCUUAUUCAUCCCAGCUUUGGCCUUUGCUCAUGCCUGGUUCAUGCCCUGGACAUAGGA